AUGGCGCUGACCGCCUUCGGCAUCGGUGAGUGCCUCGCGCCCAAUAGCUGGCGCGUCGGCGCCGCCGCCGAGCGUGAUAUCACAGUGGGCGUGCCUUUGUCAGCAUGCCGGUUCGGGCUCGGCAAGGCCACGAUCGACUCGUUGCCCACGUUCGCGUACGCAUCCCGUGACGCCGAUGGCUAUGCCGACCUCGAAUGCGGGAGCGCCCAGCUGUGCUCUGUGUGCUUGGAAGACCUUGAGGACGGCGAGAUGGUGCGGCAGCUGCCGUCGUGCAAGCACAUCUUCCAUGUCGAGUGUGUCGACAUGUGGUUGCACUCGCACACCACUUGUCCUAUCUGCCGCUGCGACCUCUCGCCACAGCGGCCAUGCUCUGCCAAAGUGGCAGCGGUAGAGACCGAACCGCCGGCUGUGCUGCCGCCUGUGUAG
rnacentral:rRNA from 1 species